CGCCGUGUACGACUACCUCCUCUACGGCCCGUCAACGACUACUUCCACUACGCCCCGUGUACCACUACCGUCGACCCUCGAAGAUUCCGUGGACGUCAAGUUCCUCGUCGUGACCCCGAACAUCUACGAAAACGUGUACAACUACCGUCGCCACGUGAACAACGACUUCCACUACGCCGUGUACGACUACUUCCCACGACGACCCGUGAACGUCUACCUCCACUACGGCCCGUGAACGUCUACGAGAUGUACCACUACUGUCGGCCCAUGAACGACUACUUCCCUCUAUGAAAAGCGAACCGUUCCAUUUGAACGCUUCGAAGGUAUAACCCGAGACGACCGCGAUGAGAUGCCCUUGCAUGUAUGAGAUGUACGAUAUGUUUGCACCGUGCCUGUUUGUCCUAGCAAGUUCCUCCUCGUUUGCCACGCCGUCGACCCGUGGGAACCCGGUAAUCCGGGAUCACCCCACCAUCUUGCAUGACUUGCUCACGCUCGCUUCCUUUUGCACCGGUAUCUUCGUGAGCUACCGGAACCGAUAUGUUGCUGUGGCAUCAUUUUCGGAUAUGUUGCCCUGGCACCAUUUUCGUUAUCGUUGCCGUGGCACCAUUUUCGUUAUCGUUGCCGUGGCACCCCUUUUAUUCCGCCGUGGUGACCAAAUGCUCCCUAUCAUAUUAGAUGUCAACAUUUUCAUAAAAAUUGCAUAAACUUGAUUAUGUCAUCCGCAUCAUGUUAACAACAUUUAAAUGCUUAAAAAUUGUUGUUGCAUUAAAUUACUAAAUGACAUGAGGAUUUUCCGGAAUUGUUGUUUGUUAUUUCCGGCCUCAUUUAAACUUGCCUAAAUAGUUCGUUUAAUUUUUCUUCACCUCUUGCCAUGUUUAACAACAUUUAAUAUUGUUGGGUACAUAACCGAGAUUAAACUAAAUAAGUGAUGUGGUGUUCCGUCAAUAUGGAACUCGUUGCAUAUUGAGCUCCAUUUAACUUGUAGUAUUGUUUGUUGCACUUUGCCAUGCCAUGCCUCAUUAAACCGGACAUGCAUCAUAUUUGGUUGUGCAUCAUGACAUGUUUAUGCUUGUGUAUUUACCAUAUUGUUUGCUUCUUUCCGGUUUGCUUCUCUUAGCUUCGGUUUUGUUCCGGAGUUGUGAGGAUUCGUUCGACUACGUCCGUUUGUCUUCUUCAUGGACUCGUUCUUCUUCCUAUCG
rnacentral:lncRNA from 1 species